UCCUCGCCCGAGGUGAGGUGCCCGCCGCGGAGGGCGGCGGACCUGGCUCUCCCCCAGCCUUUGGGGAGAGUUUCCCCGCAGCCGCGGGGAGCCGGCCCGGGGGAUGGGGGCUGCGGCGGGCGAGGCUCCCCGGGACACCCUUUCCCCCCGGCCGCCCCCGCCUGAUGGCGGCGACUGCGCGCAGCUGGGCGCGGGUUCCCCUCACGAGCCGGCGCGCUGCCCUGCCCCGCGGCGGUGUUGCUGCCGCUGCGCUUCGUGCUUCCCUCGCUGCCGUCUGCCAAGGUUAUAGUUAAUAUCAGAAUGGCUACCCUGAGCCAGUCCGUCACUACUGGCAGUGGCCGAGCAGAUGCCUGGAAGGUGGCAAGUGCAUGAUGAAUCCUCCUUGGGAAGAUCUCCUUGUUCCAGGGACGUGGGAUACUGGGAGGCCCAGAACCACAUGCGAUGGCUGGAGUAUUUUACAGGAAACCCUACAAGGAUGUUCUACUACAGAGAAGUAAAGACUGCGAGUUAGGACAUCCGUUUGAAAGCACCCCAGAAACAGACCCACUUCAUAAAGCCUGGAUCUGUACUGCUGUCCCCAGGAAGCUCUGGAGCUUCUGAAUUUGAAGAAACAGUAAAAAAGCAGAAGUCCAUACUAGGAGAAAAGCUGUUUUGUAUAAAAUGAUAACCUUGUCAGGAAACAGAAAACAAAAUCCCAUCUGAUCUAAAGCUGUGGAAAACCUUGAACUCACAUGAAAGGCUCACUGGCAGUGUCAGAGAAACAAGAAGAUAAAUGUUAAACUGAUCUUCCAUCCACACGGUGACACCUUAGAGGGUCUGAAAGAAAGUUCCAGUCAAAUCCACAUGCAUUCAGAAUUUGCUGGACCGAGAAGGACAAGAGAAAAAAAAAGAGAGAAAAGUACAGAAUGAUGACUAUGCACAUAAGUUACGGAAAACAAUAUUGAAGAUAGAUGGAAACUGAAGAAACGUGAACCAGGAGCAUGCCUACUAUAGCAGGAACAACUCUGGGGCAAAAAGAUGUCUCUUCAGGGAACAGGGAAUCAGCUGAAAAUGAAGGAUAAAUAGGAUGGGAAGAGAAGAUGCCUCAAAAUUUAGAAGCCUGAAGGUAGGAAGUUUGCAAAGCAUUUGGUUAAGCUGGGUUUGCCUUUCUGUUAGGGUGGGUGUCAGCCUGCCAGAGCCAUGUUUCUGUAGCUGCCUGCAGGCUGUCACCACCUUGCAGGCAGAGCCCCGUCCAGGGGUGCUGCCUGGUGCAGUGGGGACAGGGACAUUUCCCAGAGUGGGAACACCCGGUGUGCGCCGCACAGAGUGGCAAAACCCCAAAGAAGUACGGCUGUACUCCACCCCUACCACCCCCAAUGCCCCCAGGGACUUAGUUACCUAAACCAGGGCUUAAGUAGGCACUGGGAGGAGUGGAAAAGAACCAAACCACCUUAUUUGCUACCGACCUCCCAAAAAUGUGUAGCUACCAUGUGACAGCAUAAGAUGGCUCCAUUGGAGCUGCAGGCUGCCUCCAGAGAGGCAGGCAGGUGGUGCCCAGCUUUGGGGGGGGCAUAAUGAAACACUAGCAUGUUCUGGGCUCGGGGUGCGACACUGCGUGCCACCACCCCUGUGAGCAGAGCCCAGAAGUGGGGCGUGGGCAGGAGGUCCAGCCCCACCAGCUCCCCAUCCCACCCCAGCAUCAGUAAGGCUGUAGCUCACCCACUGCUGCAGCAUCAGCCUGGGGGCGGGGAGGGGGAGAUCCGUGGCUUAACAGUUGUCGGAUCAGAGGGCAUCGGCAUUAACACACAAAUGGUGCCGUGCAUAUACAGAGGCAGGAAACAUGCACACAGCAUUAUUUCAGUUAUCAAUGCGUAUAAAGAAUAGUAAGACCUAGAAAAGCUCCAGCUUUUUCUUCGUUUAAAUUAAUCAAUAGAUUUAAAUUAUAAAAUUGAUUAAUAAAUAACAAUAUCCACUAUCAAAUUUCUGUAUACGCAAAAACUUGACCAUUAGGGCUAUGACAUGGGAUGGGGUUUUUUUGUGAGCUGGGUUUUGUUGGGAUUUUUUCUACUUUCCUUUCUGUAAAUGUUUUUAGUGCACUACUGAAACAGUUAUAAAAUGCAUCAAAUGUAUUUGUCACCGCCCAGGAGGCUGGCUGUGGGCUGGGGGGGUGCCGGCCUGCACCCUCACCCAUCGGGACGCAGGUAACGCAGCAGCUGGGUUGUGCUGUGACUCAAUAAUCACCCUUUUCUCUUUUGUUUUUUCCCUCCUGUCUCUAUCGUUGCUUGCUUCACGUGGCAGCGCCAUACCCCAGGCAGUACCUCCCCAGUGCAUGGCACCGCAGCCAUGGGCCCCCCACCCCGGCAUUGCAGCGCUCCCCGGCAGAGGUCUUCUGAAUGGCAGCUGUGGAGCAGGACUGAAGCUACAGCAUGAUCCCGGGAGGAGCUGAUCAUCAAGGAAUAUGCAUCCUGAAAAAAUGGGGUUCUUGGAUAUUUGCAGUUGUAAAAAAAGAGUGAACAUUUUGCUACAAGAUUAUU